GUGCUCACUUUGGCAGCACAUGUACUAGAAUUGGAACGAUACAGAGAAGAUUAGCAUGGCCCCUGUGCAAGGAUGACACACAAAUUUGAGAAAUGUUCCAUAUUUUU
rnacentral:snRNA from 1 species